GACGUAGGGCGCGAGCGUUGUCCGGAUUUAUUGGGCGUAAAGAGCUCGUAGGCGGCUUGUUGCGUCGACCGUGAAAACCCGGGGCUCAACUUCGGGCUUGCGGUCGAUACGGGCGGGCUAGAGUGAUGUAGGGGAGACUGGAAUUCCUGGUGUAGCGGUGAAAUGCGCAGAUAUCAGGAGGAACACCGGUGACGAAGGCGGGUCUCUGGGAAGUAACUGACGCUGAGAAGCGAAAGCAUGGGUAGCAAACAGG
rnacentral:rRNA from 1 species